AUUGAACGCUGGCGGCAGGCCUAACACAUGCAAUUCGAACGAGUGGCGGACGGGUGAGUAAUGUCUGGGAAACUGCCUGAUGGAGGGGGAUAACUACUGGAAACUGUAGCUAAUACCGCAUACUAUCGGAUGUGCCCAGAUGGGCUUAGCUAGUAGGUGGGGUAAAGGCUCACCUAGGCGACGAUCCCUAGCUGGUCUGAGAGGAUGCCCCGACACACGGGAACUGAGACACGGUCCAGAGUCCUACGGGAGGCAGCAGUGGGGAAUAUUGCACAAUGGGCGCAAGACUGAUGCAGCCAGGCCGCGUGUAUGAAGAAGGCCUUCGGGUUGUAAAGUACUUUCAGCGGGGAGGCGUUAACCGCAGAAGAAGCACCGGCUAACUCCGUGCCAGCAGCCGCGGUAAUUC
rnacentral:rRNA from 1 species